rnacentral:rRNA from 1 species
UCGUUGUGUGUUAUAUGUGUCACACGGGACUGCCGGUCCUUAAGCCGGAGGAAGUGGGAUGAUGUCAAGUCAGCAUGGCCUUUAUAUCCUGGGCUACACACACGCUACAAUGGCCAACACAAUAGGUUGCUAAGCCGCGAGGUGGCGCCAAUCCAUAAAGUUGGUCUCAGUUCAGAUUGUAGGCUGCAACCCGCCUGCAUGAAGAUGGAGUUGCUAGUAACCGCAGGUCAGCUAUACUGCGGUGAAUACGUUCCCGGGCUU